rnacentral:rRNA from 1 species
UACGAAGGGGACUAGCGUUGUUCGGAUUUACUGGGCGUAAAGCGCGCGUAGGCGGAUCGCUAAGUCAGGGGUGAAAUCCCCGGGCUCAACCCGGGAACUGCGUCCGAUACUGGAAGGCUUGAAUCCGGGAGAGGGAUGCGGAAUUCCAGGUGUAGCGGUGAAAUGCGUAGAUAUCUGGAGGAACACCGGUGGCGAAGGCGGCAUCCUGGACCGGUAUUGACGCUGAGGCGCGAAAGCCAGGGGAGCAAACGGG